UGCCAGUGUCUCCUCACAACAAUGAAAAGCAGUGUGAGUGGAGCCUACUAAGUCCCUUGGCCAACAGGGAAGCCAUUUCAGAGCCAGGUAGGCCCUGUGUGGAUGGGCAGGACAGCACAUCUAAGGUGAAAGAAGUGCUUCUCAUUUUAUAAAAUCAGUUUCCCAGAUUCCUUCCGGGAUGUGUCUAUAACCCACGCUGUGAGUUCUGAGGAAAGAGACUACUGAAGACAAAUCCAGGAGAGAAUCCUUCAGGACAUUUGCAGCGUUCAGAUGGGAUUCCCUUUUUCCAUCAAGGGUGGAUUUACUUGCAUAUGAUGCACCUUGUGGCUUUCUGCAGAUUAUACCUCAUCAUGGUGGCAGUGACUGCUUCUGGCUCCCUAAUUCCGCAGUUUCCACAGGCUAAGGCUACUGAGGAAAAAGGACUUGGCUUCCACCUGGGUCCUUACAGAAUACUGUUUCACACCUUCAUGGCCAUGCCUAUUACAUUGUUCAUUCCUCGUGUGUUUACAGUCUCCUCAACAUGGUGGGCACCAAAACAAAAUGUUGUAACUUCACUUCUGUGUAUGCACAGAUCCGAAGGAUACAAAGCACUUCAAGCUUUUACAUCAGGCUUUUACUUUUAAAUCACCAGAGGAGGAAAUAAAGCCCAGAUGAUGGUUCACGUAUUCACCUGGCAGCAGCAGCACAAGAAAUUAGGUCUGCAGUUUUCAUCACCUUCCUGACACUGUAUGUGACCCACGAAAGAAGAGAAUUCUCCAGUCUUCCUCUUUUCUAUCCUCAAACUCUUCACUGUAUGUGGCAACAUGGGCUCAUUAAUGAGAAUUUGUGGCUUUGGUCUUUCAAAAGCAACAAUGAGGUAACAAACUUCCUGCAUUUAGAGUAACAAGGUUGAUGAACAUGACUUCUUAGCAAAUUGUCAAGAAUAUGUAGUUCAAUAAUCUCAACACUGCCAUAAUUUAGACAAGACUAUGAAAUUCUGAAGGCAUAUGGAAAACCACUUUUAUGCUUUCAUAUCACAGUGGUUGUGCAGACACAGUCACCUCCUACUGAAAAUUUCCAUCCUUGAUCUUCCCUGCUUCUUCCUUUACUCUCUAGGCAGUUACCAGAUCUUCCCUGGACACAGAAUAGUACUGUCCUGUCACCAGUUCUUUGAACAGCUCCAUCCUGAGAGCUUGGAAAGUGGAGACCCAAGUCCUAGAAAAUAAGUACAAGACUGAGAGUCUAAAGCCUGUGUGGACUCUCAGCUCUGCUAUUAAAAUCGCUCUGUGACCCUUUGCUGGUCACUUAACCUACUGUGCUGCUAUUUGCUCAUCUGUAAAAUUGCUCUCCCUCAUAGGCUCUUUGUGAGGAUAAAAGAAAAUAAUAGGUGGCAAAGUGCAGUGAAUGGUAAAAGUCUAAUACUAAAUCAAAGUAUUAUCAUUUUAGAAAUUUAUCCCUGAGUAGUGCUGACAUCGACAUACAGAAGUUGAAGCUGCAAUUAGGGGCCUGCUUCAUCUUUAACCCACCAAUAGUAAAGAAUAGUUUCAGCAGUGACCCGAUUUCAGGCACCCUAUGGCUACUUGAAACUCCCCCUUCUUAUUCUUAGUAUAAGUAUAGCAGUUCAGAAAUUAUUCUAGGACAGUUUUAAUACCAACUAGUCUGUAGUCUUCCUUUUUAAGCCAUGAGUUCAUAAAUCGUUAUUUAAGCUAUUAGAACCUUAUACAUAUUCUUGUAGCUCUAUGCAAUUGUUUUGUUUAUGGAAACAGAUCUUGACUAAAGCCUGCUAUGUGCCAAACCUCAGAAACAUGAAGGAAAAUGCCUACCCAGCUAAGGAUGCUGGCAGUAUAGUACAAGACAGACUAAGAAUCAGUUAUGGGAGGAGAUGGAGGAGAUGUACAGAGGGUCAGGAAAUUGAACAGAGGUGUGUAGCAGUGAGGGAUGGGGAACUGGGAGUAGCAACCAGAAACUCCCAUAUGCCAGGAAAGCAAGAGCCUCCCAGGACCCCAUGGGAAUGACAUCAGCUGAAAUACCCCCACAAAAGGGAUGGAGGACCUGUCUAGACCAUAUACAGAGCUUAGGUAUGCCCUCCUUCAUGCUUGAGGGAUGGGUCCACUCACCUAUCUCAAAAAAAUUUAACCCAGAAUUGCUCCUGUCUAAAGGAAAUACAGAGACAAGGAGUGGAACGGAAACUGAAGGAAAGGCCAUCAGAGACUGCCCCUUCUGGGGAUCCAUCCCACAUGCAGACACCAAAACUAGAUAUUAUUGCUGAUGCCAAGAAGUGCUUGCUGUCAGGAUCCCGAUACAGCUGUGUCCUACGAGGCUCUGCCAGAUCCUGGCCAAUACAGAUGCAGAUGCUUUUAGUCAGCCAUCAGACUGAGCACAGGGGCUCCAAUGGAGGAGUUAGGGGAAGGAACAAGAAGAAAUCCUUGCAGAAAUCAAGCACAGUGAUUUCUGGAUUCUUUUGGAAACAUGUCAGUUAACAUUUCUGAAGCAUAAGUGCAGGCUCUGGAAAUGAAUGGUUAAUCACUUGCCUCCAGAGGUUGUGCAGAAGUGUAAUCUGCACUAGUUAUAAUCUUGAUAGUCAAUUUGAUGCAUUCGAGACAAUGAAGGAGCUAAAGGGGCCUUAUCUGACAUCAGUGGGAGGAUAGGCCCUUGGUCCUGUGAAGGCUUGAUGCCUCCAUGUAGAGGAAUGGUAGGGCAGUGAGGCAGGAGUGUGUGUGUGGGGGAGCGGGGAGCACUCUCAUAGAAGCAGGAUAUGAGGGGAUGGGAUAGGGGGUUUGCAGAGGGGAAACCAGGAAAGGGGUUAAUAUUUGAAAUGUAAAUAAAUAAAAUAUCCAAUUAAAAACAAAGUGUUCAAAGCAAUGAGGCCCCUUGCUGUGAAGGUGGACCACUGGCUAAGCACUGUCCUAGAGCAUUUCAGUACUUUAUAUCCAUUUCACUAGGUAAUUCUACUAAAUCCUUGGUUUCCUUUUUUUGUGUGUUUGUUUGUUUGUUUGUUUUCGAGACAGGGUUUUUCUGUAUAGCCCUGGCUGUUCUAGAAGUCACUUUGUAGACCAGGCUGGCCUCAAAAUCAGAAAUCCGCUUGCCUCUGCCCCCCGAGUGCUGGGAUUAAAGGUGUGUGCCACCAUGCCCGGCUUUUGUUUUCCUUUAUAAGUUAUUUUUCCGUUGAUGUGUCACAACACACUUUUUAAAAGCCACUUAUGGGAAGAAAGGCUUCUUUGGGAUCACAGAUCACCUUUUCCUUUUCACUGAGUCUGGGGCCAAUGACGUAAUGCUCCCCAGAGUUAGAAUGGAUCUUUCCCGCUAAAUUCACCUAAUCUAGUGAGUGUCUCACGUUCAUGCCCAGAGAUUGUCUCCAAUGCAUCAAAUUGACCAUCAAGAUUAUAACCAGUACACUUCUGGACAACCUCUGGAGGCAAGCGAUUAACCAUUCAUUUUCAGAGCCUACACUUAAGCUUCAGAAAUGUUAACUGACAUGUUUCCAAAGGAAUUCAGAAAUUGCUCUGCUUGACAUCUGUAUUCUGUGAGAAGUCAGGAACGCACUUGGCCUCAGAGACAUGGAGGCUAAGCUAAGCAAUGCAUUUGUUUACUGCCUGAAUGUGAUGUGUUCUCUUUAACAAAGGCAAUUGUUUUUACAUUUUGAUUUUGUAAAACAUGCAAAAUGGUUAUCCAAGAAGUCUUCUAAGCUAUAAAUGGUGUAUGUAAUAUUAAAGAUUUUAUGAUCCAAAUCUCAAUUCCUUAGAAAAGUAAAAGCUUUUUCUCAUGAAAGCCCUACACUUUAGAAGUGAUCUUAAUAAAGUGUUCGAUGUGUUCCUAGACACCCAUUAUUCUGCUCGACAAUAAAGUUAACAAAGGCAA